AGUUGCGUAAAGGACUAUGAUAGCUGGAGAACUGCAGCUGGAUCGAGAUGUGGCAGCCUACCUACUAAACAGCAACACAUCAACCAAGUGUUUAGUCUUCUGCAGUGGCUUCAUAAUUAGUGCCAAUCAAGAUCAAACUCCAAAGAUUUCAGAACUGGAAUUUCCUUCUAGCUGUGUCAUGAAGAACAGUGGAAAUUAACAGAGGUACAACUGCAGGAAGAGGUAUUCUACUGGAUGGUUUGUUGUUCUGGAAACACCAGAUUUGCGUCAACUGCAACACCUGACUAAAAAUAAAGGCAGGGAAGGGAAGAGGAAAGCUGAAAUACAAGAUUUAGCAACAACAGGGCCUUUCUUCAGAGCUGCACAGUGAAUGGACAAGACACGUUUGGCACAAGUUGCAAGAAGAGAAUCAGUUCGUCACAAUCUGAGUAUUUAAUUAUUAAAACAGCUUGUCCAGAGGCUGUUGCACCUCCACUCUUGGAGACUUUAAAAACCUGGCUAGACAAAGUGCUGGGCAAUCUAAGACGAUCUGGAGAUUCACUCACCUUUUGGUGGAGUGUUGGAUUAAAUGACCUCCAGAGGUCCCUUCCAACUUAAAUUUUUCCAUACAUCUACAUAUUUUAUAUGUCUCCAUCUAAGUGUCUGAUUUCUAAUGUAAAUAAUACCAAUUUUUCAUUGUUUGUCUUCUGUUUUAUGACCCAUCCUUGAGGAAGAAGCAAUACUUACUUGUGUGGUUUGCCUGAAAUAUUUCUCUAGUUGAGAAGAGUGUGUGUACUCCACAGAAGCAGGCAUUUGUUUCAUCUUGUAAUCUUUAGUCCACCUCUGUAUCUGGGAGGUAUUAAAUUCUGUGAAAUCAGUCCCAUUCUCUGCCUCCAUCCCAACUUUCUGGCCCUCAUACCUCUGUGGGACCUUAUCAGCUCAUCUACUCUGCUCAUUGCUGUUUGUGGAGACUAGUCACGCCACACUAUAGGCAACUGAUCUUGCAAUCUUUUUUUCGCUGAACAUUUACAAUCGGAUUAUUUAGAAAAUAAGGGUGAUGAGGCACUGGAAGAGGCUGCCCAGAGAAUUUGUGGAUGCCCCAUCUCUUGAAGUGUUCAAGAUCAGGUUGGAUGGGGCUUCAAGCAACCUGAUCUAGUUGAAGGUGUCCCUGCCCAUGACAGAUGGGGUAGAAUUAAAUGGUCUUCUUUGAUUCUAUGAAAUCGCAUUGAACCUGAAGUGAGAAUAUAAUUUCUCUUGUGCUCUGUAUUGACUACAUAUACUCAGAGCAUAAGAAAUCUGUUUACUCUUGAAAAGCCUGAUGAGGAAUUAGCCAGGAGUUAACACCUCCUGUCUACCACAAGAGAAUCACAGCUAUGCUGUAAUUAGUUGCUGAAGCAGACAACAAAUUUAUUCCUUAAAAAAGCCAAGAAACAACAAAGGGUAAGUCUGUCUCUCAGAGUUGUCUCUGAGGCACAGUGUCCCUUGUGGCACCCUAAUCAAACCUGUAUGGGGGAAAAAAAAAAAAAAAGAAAAUUAAAUAAAAAGGAAAAAAAAAAGGGAAAAAAGCCACCUUUUUGACUUUAUAAUGGUGGAGGAAAUCACUAUGUGAUCUGAUACCUCAUGAUCUCAUUGUGGAGAGAUGGCUUUAUUAAUGAAUGCAUUAUAUUUUUGUCACACACUGGAUAUUCUCAGGCAAUUAACCACUGGAAAAAAGGAAAUGAAAAGCAAUUGCCUUAUUUUUGUUUAAAUGUGAUUAACUGAAAAGACCAUAUAGUAUACAGUAUAUUAGCAAAAAUAUCCUAUGAAUAUUUACCAGGCACAGUUAAUCAACUGAGAAUACAUGGCAGUCAAUGAAUCAGUGUUUUUCUGAGACCUUAGGUACUCUUAGAAUAAUGUGCUGAAGCAGGCUGAAAUAUUGAAAUGUUCUGUUGGGUCAACUACCAAUUUAUCAUAAAAUGCUAGGGUCUACAUGUGCACAAUAGAUGGUGACUUGAAAACAAACUUUACCGUCUAUUGAGUAUAUAAAACACAUUUGGAAAUGUUUUAAGCAUGAUAUCUUUAUAGAUACCAUGAGCAAUAAAGGUUUCCUUACAACUGGAGUGUAACACACACACACAUAUGCACAUAAAUCCUAUACUGAUUUGCCUGCUAGAUCAUCAUGUUUUUUCAGAAAGCCUCUACGACGUCCUGGAUAUUUAACACUUUCCAAUCACCUAUCUAUGUCGACCAUAGAAAAUCUGGAGAUGAUAUAUGACCUGCAAAUUCAAAAUCUUAUGACUCAGAUAAAUUCAUGGUCCUCAUCAAGUCACUUGAACAUGGAGUGUAAUAAUCAGUAACAGCACAGUUAAGUACAGUUCAGUGAAAGGAAGGUAAAUUCUCCCACCCUAACAAGUCUUUGACCCCUCUGAUCAAGACAGCUUCCCACAGAUCCCUUCGAAUCACUACAUCUUUUCUUAAUAUAUGAGAAGAUUUUGUCAGAGCUUUGUCUUAUGUGCCUUCGUUUCCUUACUUAUACUAUCAACAACUGUUGAUAACUGUUAUAAGAUAUCAUAACUGAUGGGUUAAAGAUUAAGUUUGUUAAACUGAGAGACGAAAGUUGCCCCAGUGAGUAUUUGCCUGGAGCAACAAUAAAAAUUGAUGUCUUUCAGUCACAAUGUUGAUAUAUACAUAUGCACACACAAAUCUUUUUAUCAUAAGUACCCUUCAGUCCUGCUGUAUGGCAAUGAAUUUCACACCUGUACCUGCUUUCCUUUAGAGCUAACAUUCUGAACUGGAGUUGAAGUAAAAGGCUGAGGAAGAAAGGAAAAAAUCAUUAUCUUCUUUUGACGAGCUAGUGAAAUAGAUCUUAAUGAAAUAUCAGAUUUUAUCAUCACAGGUACAUAAUAAUUUCUAUUGAAUUCAGCUGCAGACAUUGAGAAGUCAUUCAUUUCAUACCUGAUCCCAAAACUGUACUUUUUGACAGAUGGCAGCAGUAUUCUCCCAUGCCGAGGUAGACAAUAGUAAAAAUCAACCAAAAAUGGUGCAAUCAAUCAAAAAAACAUACACACAAAACAAACCUAAAACCAACCAAACAAAAAACAACAACAAACCAAACCAAACCAACCAACCAACCAAAAACAAACAAACAAACAAAAACCACAAGAAUCUAAUUAGGAACACACAUCAUUCAUACUACCUGCAGUCAGGUGCACUUUUUACAAUUCCUUCAGAUAAUGAAAUCAGUACCAGAUACCUAAUACUUGACAUCAGACACUGUAACCCUAAUUCUGACUUCCAGAAUGACCUUUCCUAAUUCUUAUUUGCCACUGAAUAUUUUGUUUCUGCAACAUUAGUAGUUACAAAAAUCUCAUGAGAAAAUAGUUGGUAUUGGUUAGAAUCCUUUGAUAAAAGGGUAUUUGCAGAAAAAAAACAAUAAUUACAAAAUAGUAAAACUCCCAUGGGAACUUCAGAAUUAACUUUAUGAAUCCAGAAAUAGAAUUAAAUGUAAUGAGACUUAGCUGAUGAAAAGCUAGGUAGCAAUAAACUUCCAUUAUCUUUUGGAAAGUUUUAUCAAAUCACAGAAAUACUAAAAACGGGACUGAAAAAUAAUUCAAGGGUUCAUCCAGACAAGAGAGGGACCCAAGGCAAGGUAAGUUGCUGCUGUUUCUUCUUGAUAGGGGCUUUCAAGUUUUCUGUAAAAGACACCUAAUUAUUUGAAACACCACAGAUUCCUAAGGCAAUCAAUACUAGUAUUAAAAUGUUUUUUUUUCCUGAUGUCCAAACUAAAAUUUUCUCCAUACUCCUUGUCUUAGCCUCCUUAGAUUUUAAGCACAGGUUAUUUCUCUCUUCAAAAUCUUACUUCAAAAUCUUGCUAUCACAUAUCUUAGACUUAUUUUUUGUAGACUGAAUGAACUUGUAGGUUUUUUUUCUGUUUUUUUGUUUUUGUGUUUUCUAGGUCUGUCCUUUACUUUUCUCUUCAACUAGGCCAACUUAUUGAAGUGCAGUGCUGGAAACCAGCUAGUGCUCAGACUGAAGUCUUCUCAGUGCUAAGUGCUCUUGCCUUUUCCUCCUCUCCCACCUGGGUUAUUUCUUUAAUUUGAAAAAGUAAUUUUUGACUGUAAUUUUACCUGAAACAUACUCAGACUCCCUCUCAGAUUUUUACAUCUGCAUAUUCAGUAAGCAGGCUCAAUGUUUACUGUGAUCCAAGUUGUUAAUUCUGAUACUGAACACCGCAGCGCUUAGGAUAGACCCUUGAGAAACCCAGUCAAGACUGAUGUUAAGUCUCACGUUGCCUGACUUAUUCCAUUUGUCCUACAUGGCCUCUGAGAGAGAUCAAGACCCUGAAUUUGAUCUGCUUGCUCAGGAUUACAUUCCUCAAGCUGAAUUUAUAAAUUUCUUUCACAACACAGCACUGUGGAUGAAUGCACUGACCAGCUGCUUUCAUUUUUUGAUCAAGUUCUCUACCACAGACCUCUCCUAUUUAAUCAACUUCACAUUUCCCAGGGUUAAUGAACGUAAGGCACGUGUAUGUUUUAACAAAAAUGCGUAGAAUAUCAUCACUUUUUUUAACAUUGAUGCUUUUUCCAACAAGGUGCUGGAUGGUCCGUGGACAUCUCAGAUGUUCCCUGUGGACUGGCUUUUUCUGUCUAAUUUUCAUGAGGGCACAAGAUAUAUCAUGUUUACUUGACAAUUGCACAUAAUUUAUUUGAACAUAGGACAUGACUGUCUUUCAGAUUAAUCCUCUUGACAGCAUAGCUGUCUUAAAAAAUAAUAUCUGCCUGGCUUUUACCUCUGAGAACUAUCCCGUACCUCUAGUCACCAUUUCCGCCAGGGUCUAGUGAAAGUAACACAAAAUCAAUUAGAUAUUACAUUCAUUAUCACAAAAUACACACAUAGUAUGUACCCUACAAAACAAACAAAAAAAAACCAACAACAACAAACCCCACCCAGUUUUAAUUCUGGUGAAAACAUUUAUUUUCAGGAGAUGAGAACAUGUUCUUUGGACCGAUUUUUUUGUUCUUACUUCAGGAAGGUGUUAGCUAUUUUAAAUGUAUUUUUUCUUUAGCAAAGAUAGAGGCGGUUAAAUCUGGACAAAAGUGGACUUAAAUUUGGCUUUUGGUAUGUUUUGUUUGGUUAUUUAUUAAUACAAGGACCUGUUUACCUAACAAUGGUUAGGUUGUUUUAAUGAAUGUAACACUGGAAAUAUUAACCUCUGGGUGAAAAGGAAGAAGAUUAUUAUUCAUUCUCAAAUAUAUAAGGUGUUCCAUAUUUUAAUGUAUUUUGUUUCUAAAUGCAUAAGAUCCUUUGCCAGUUUCUAAGCUAAAACCAUUUUUACUUUAAUACUGUAACUUUUUCAAAGUCGAAAGGUUUUUCAAGAACAGGAGGAGUUCAACAAUGGUUUCAAAAUUACAUUGAAAAACAGAAAAAUUAGUUGCAUCAAAUUUUUUCUUAACAUUGUAUGUGAAUGUUUAGGGCUUUUUUUUCAUCCAGGUAGUUUUUAAAAAAUAUUUUUAGAUAACAUGUAGCAAACUGCGAGAUUACUCUGUGAACAUGUUUCGAAUUUGUCCAUAGAAACAUCUUCAGGAAAUGUCCUUCGUACCAAUUCAGUUAUUAACCCUUCAGUGAACUUACAGUGACCAUGAAUGUUGUGAUUUGUAAUAUAAAUAUUUAAAGCAACAAGUUGAGUAGAGAAAAAUAAAUUAAAGUUUAGUUCUUGGAGUGUAUAUGGCACAAAAAAAUAUUUGGGAAAAGUGAAGAAACUAUUGUUACUAGUGUGGGCUGAUAUUAAGAUCCUGGACAUUGAUGCAGGUUGCAUUGACUACGUUUGAAUUCCUUAAUAUCCACAGAUAUUAAUGAAAACAGAUUUUUAAAUAAUAUUUUGAGUCUUCAAAUAUAAUUAAAUUUAGUGAUGCAUUUCAGUAGCAGCUUAUUUUAACCUGAAAUAAAAUUUCAAAAUAUUACUUCUGUGGCAAACGAUCAGCUCAGUUUUGAUUAAAAGCUAUGUCUGCCUUCUCUUGUCUGACAGAGAAGCUACUAAAUCCUGGUGGUUUGUUUGUUUAAAUCUGAUUGUCCUUGAAAGGAGAGUUACUAUUAACCACAUGACCUCCUCUGCCCAUGGGGCAGGUAACCAGCAGUGGAUAAACUGAGAGAGAUUUCGAUAAUGCUGAAGCUGAUAAGGAGGUCACUUCUAAAGUGGCCUUGAAAUUAUAAGGAGAGGUGAUUAUUUCAGAGGCUAAGAAAGAAUACAGAAGGCAAAGGAGAGCUGAAGGAAUAGUGAUUACAGUGAAGAGAUAUGGGAGCAUGAAGAGGCAGAGUAUAUAUAUCCAUGAUGGGAAGAAAGGGAGCUACAAGAUGGGACAUCCUGGGCUUCUAAGAGACCCUUCACACAUGCUGAAGAAAGUGAAGAACCAAUGGAUAAAUCAAUGCAGAAGAGGAUAUAUGUAUGUAACAUCUAAGCUAAUCCAAAGUGUUUUGAUUUAUUGUGUUUUUACAUUUCAUACUUCAACUUCUGGCCAUUCCCAGUGACUUAAAAUGCCAUUGGGUAUCACACCCAAGAAACAGUCCCUGACAUAUUCUGAUUUAUUAACACAGAUGCAGCUAGAGAAUCUCUGAAUUGCAUCUCUACACAGGUACAGUACCCUCUGUUAAUAUACUUCUUUACAUCUUAUUUGAGGGAUAAGUAUGAAGUAUAAGACUAUUGGUCUCCAGUAGCUGAGAAGAAAAGCUUCAAUAUUGUGCUGUGCUAUGAAUGUUCAACAAAUCAUAAGUGAACAAUAUAUCCUUUUCAGAAACUCACCUAAUGAUUUUUGAGUUUUUUUACGAGACUUCAACAUGCUCGAGCCUGGCAUGACCGUUGGCAGGUUAUCAGUACUUUGGGCACGGUCAUAUUUAUUGCCUUGGAGUCAACAUUUUUAGCCAAAAAACUAAGGAAUAGUGCUCAGCAAAUGGAAGGUGAUGUGUCCUCUUUGGGUAUUUUUGUGGAGGAUACCUGUUUUUUCUGGUUUUAAUCCUAAGAAGGAAAAGUAAGAAUAAUCUAAAACUCAAAGCUUCUUAAGAAUUUCAAAGAGUGGGUGUAGACAACAUUGUAAAAUCCAUCCACCAAAUCAACUCUAACAAUUCCUUUAGAAUCCUUUAGUUGUGUUAAUGGAUCUUUUGUCUCACUCCACUGGCUGUAUCAAGUAUACUGCUACUUCACAUACUUAACUUCUUAACACUAUAUUUCAAACACAAGAGACACCAGGUUUGGUCACUGCAGGUGGACUGUAAUUGUAACAGUGUCUUCUAUGGCAAUUAUAGCUAUUGAGGGCUUCAUUUGAAAUUUAGAAAUUUUGGAAUAGCUUUACCUGCUAGUAGCAGUAUUUAACCUGUCUUAAUGUAUGUCUGGAUGUUUUCUUUCAUCUAAAUAUGAUCUUUUGCUAUAAAAGGAAUGAAGAACAACACUGUCCGGUUGUAAGAAUUUUGGCAUUUUUUGUUGUGAUUUUUAUUAAGCUUUUUUUUUUUUUUUUUCCAUUUUGUAAGAGGAAACAUUAGGAUUAUCAAAAUAUCUUUACAGCUUCAAAAGAUAAAGUGAGAUGUCUUGUUUUGAAUGAUUGAUAAAGAGGAAGUUCUGCCUUACUUCUGUCUGGUCAAGGGCUCUGUAGAAAUAUUAGUAAGUAAGUAGGUUUUAACUUCAUAGAUUUGGCACAGUUUCAGUUGUUUAUGUUAAUCUGAACAAAAAUAAUCUUGGAAGGUACAUUUUUUAAUUACAUGAUCACAUAUUUGUGUAUCAAAACAGCACUCAUGGAAUACCACCUACUUCGGGUUAAUGGGUGAAAGGUCGAGUAUGAAGUUCUUAUUGCUAUUCAGUUAAGGCAUCAUUUCAAGAAGGAUUUCAAGUUGGUAAUGAAACUAAAUUAUCUCAAAUGAAAAAGGUGAUUCAGCUGUCUCUCCAAGUGAAGUCAUUAACAAGUCAACAGAAUAGGGUAUUUUAUAUAUUUUUUUUUUUUCUGAAGGUCAAGAAUCCUGAAGAUAGUGAGCAAUGCAAGAAUGUUCUAAGUAGCAUUAAAGGUGAUAUUUUAGAGAAAAUACAGUGGGUUCUCCCUAACUUUCUGAAAAAAGGAUGACCACUUUUGGGGUAGGGUGGUGGUGUUAUUUGUUUACCUGUUUUGAUGGGGUUUCGUUUGCUUUGGUUUUGUUGGGGUUUUGUUGUUGCUGCUUAUUUGUUUUUUCUCUGAAAAGUAGCUAUAGCCUUUACUGUUAAAAAAAAAAAAUCCAUCUUUCAUUAAAGUGUCUUUAUUUUUGAUAAUUUUCAAAGAAGUAUUGGUAAUUAAUUGAACCCCUUUUACCACAUGGCAAAUUCCUAUUAAACAAUUCAUAACUUUAAACCAGAUAACUACUGAAAAUUAAUCAUCCAUGGACUGCUGAACUGAACAACUCUUUGAAUCUCUAAAAAAGAUCACCACUCUAUUAGACUUAUAUACUCUAAUUAUGUUAUAUAUAACUGUAUAAUUUAUAAGCUUUAAAUUAGAUUAACCAUCUAUUAAGAUUUACACAAAUGAAAAUGUAUUCAUCAGAUUAAAAAGUAAUAAAAAAAGGAAAUUAACCAAAUCUGGAAUUUACCUCCCCACUAAAGAGUGUAAUUAGGAUUUGAGACUUGCAAGAACAAUGAGUUUAGCUGGUAUCGUCUCAUUUGAAUAUUACAGUUGGUUGGAUGAGUUUGUCCUAUUUUAAUACUUAGAUCAAAUUCUGAUCUCAGUCACAGUGAUAAUAAAUCAUGUAUAACUGUGGUUCAUUUGAGUUGCUUCUGUUUUGCAGAUAUAAAAGUGACAGCUGAAACAGCCGAUAAUAUACAAAAUCAGAAUAAGAAUUCCAACACAUACCUUAUACCAUAAGGUCCACACAUAACUGUCAGUCCAACUUUUGAAUUUUAAGAAGAAAACACUUUCACGUUGGUCAAGUUAAAAUCAAACUUUUGUAGCUCAUUUUAGUUUUACUUUUUGAAACAAAAAGUCGAUCUGCCAAAUACUCAAAUAUUAAAGUGGUUUAAAAUGUAAAUGCAAAGCAGGAACUACCCCUCUCAGAACAAAUCUUACUAAUGCAUUCUGGAUAAUUUUCCUUCUGCCUUUCUGUUCUUAAAAAGUCAUCUUGUGGCUAAGAUAAUAUUUGUAGACUGAUCUGUCAUCUCAAAUAUCUCAAAAUAUCUAGGUAAUCUACUCAUGUUAUUUCUGAAUUUGUGGAUUUUCCAAGAUCCUAUCUAUUGGAAUGAGGGAUUUUUUCUUUUACACAAAGACAUUACAACUAGACUCCUUUUUCUGAAAACUGUGUCUUAGCUGCUUCUUCUCUAUGAGAAGAUCUUCAGUUUUAGACCUCUACCUUCAAAAAUGGAAAGAACAGGAGGAAUUGAAACUCCUGCAAGUAAUGGCUAUGACAGAGCUGUUAAACCACUUGUUGGCCUCUGCCUGCGACACCACACCUGAGAAAGGACAUUCUUCUCUGCCCUAUUCAGUCUUGACGAGGGUUCAUCAACAUUGACAUCAGUAAAAACACCACAAGCAUUAAAUAUCUAACAUUUGUCACCUGUACAUCACUAAACCUUCCUGAGCCAUAGAACCCACCUCUUAAACACAAAAGCCAGUGAAACCAGAGUAUAAUCUCAUUACUCACUUGUCAUGGCAAUCAUACUGGUAAAUACUGUUUAUGACCUGUUUCCCCACUCUUAUCCCCUAUCAGGAUAAGGACUCAAGCAGCAUUCUUGCAAUAAUGUAAGAAGUUAUUGGUGAUGGUUGCAUGCAUGAGAAUGUUUAUUUCUUACAGAAUUUAUCUGAAAACAGUGCUGACAGGAUAGUUCCUCAUAUACUUAAAACAGCCCCUGGGUAAACAACUUUGCUGUCUAAAAGAUCACACAUGCAUAUAUUUCAUGUAUUGGAAGUUGUACGUUUAAUCUUGAGAGCUCAUGUUGUUUUCACCUAAAUUUGUCAUGUGAAUUUGAAAUGUAACAAUCUGUGUCACCUUGGGAUGUUUGUAUUGGGAUGUUUUUUUCAAAACUCUAUUCUGACAGGGCAAAGAUGAGGUAUCAUCUUAGAUUCAUAGAUUUUUCAAGUCAGGAGGAAUUCUAUGAUCAGAUAAUGUGUCUCUUGUGUAUAACACAGGACCUACAUAACAUAAGGAGUUAUAAUUGUGGCAGGUUGCCUUAUCUGGCAUUAGUUUAAAGUUGUCAGUGAUAUGACCCUCUUGAAGCCAGAUGUUUUGCUGGAAAUGCUAUAAAUAUAUAUUGUUCAGAAUUGAGACUGACAAUAUUCAAUCACUUUUAUAGCUGAUAGUGAAAUAAGUUUGCUCUCUUCUCAAAUGAUGAUGUAGCACUUGAACAACCUAAUAAUUUAAGAAUGUUGUACUCAAUCUGGUAUUCAGGUUACUUUGUGUGUUUGAUAUCAACCAUUAUUCUUUUGAUUAUUUUCUUACAUGUUUUAUGAUUUUUCUAGUAAUAUAGAUUAGUUAAUAAAAUAUGUAGAACAAUAAAUCUAUGCUUUCUACGAACUUCUGUGCAUAAUGAAGAGUUUGGAAUCUGACAUAUCCCUGAAGCAGAUCACUGAGAUAAGAGAGUACUCUGUGACUCAUUGAGGUCACAUAGAACUGUCCUAACACAUAUUUCUAGUAAUACCUACGCUGGCAUUUUAAGAAGAAGCAUUUUGUAUUGAUCCCUUUUUCAAUGAAACAACAGAAACUACAGACUACUUUAGAUAUUUGUUGUCAAUUUAAAGCUUGUAGUUCUCACAACAGGACACUCUGUUAUCUUUUUAUCAUUUCAUGCUAUGUGCAUCUGUUUAAAAUGAUUUUCAUUUUUUUUAAUACUUUCGCACAUCCCCAGUUUUAUGUGGUCAUGCUCACUAUUAAAUACCACUGUCUUGACUAAUUCCUUCUUUAGCACAAUAUAUUCUUGUCAUGACUGAGGUCUUUUAAGCACUAGUUCAACCAUAACAUAUACUCUAUCAUAAAGCAAUAACAAUAUAUCAAUACAUAAACAGAAAAUGUCUAAGCAGUAUAAGCAACUGUCAUUUAGAACAUCUGUCACCUUUAUUAUGUACCCAUACAUGAACACAAACUCUCCUGUUUCUACAAACAUUCUGCAUAUUGCCUGGGAAGGUUGCUGAGAGAAACAGUACAGUUUUCUUCACUGGAAACAUUCAAAACCCUACUGAAGAAAGUCCUGAGUGAUGUGGUCCCAUCUCAGAGCUGAACCUGCUUUAAACAACAGGCUGCACUGGAGACUCUCUAAGCUCUCUUUCAACCUGAAUAAUUCUGUGAUCUGGUGUCCUCCAAAUAGUGCCCAUGUCUUUCCAUGGAGAAAACAAAUGAAAAAAAAACCAUCUUUAAUAUUUCUGAUCUUCCAUACUUUCUUCUCUUCUUUUACAAACUGACAGUGAAGAAAAUCUUUGCCAAUGUAUUUGGCUGCAUCACCUUUCUCAGAAAUAUAUCACCGCAUUUUUUUUUAUCAUUGCAUCCUAUAUUGUGUAGCUUACAAAUUGUUUAUGGCUAACCCAAACAAAUCAGUUGUCCAUUUAGGAAUCUAGAUUUUACAAAAACCUUGGAUAUAUUAACCCAAUAUUGAGAAGAAGAUUGGUCUUAAUUGCCUUUCAUGACUAAUAUAUAGAUAUCUCUUAAGAAUGAGUUAUUAUAAACAGAUUUUAUAAUAUUAUAAACAUUAUUAUAAAACACCAGCUCUCCCUAACAGUCAAGUGAAAGAAAUUGGCACCUUCAUAUGCCAAUUCGUCCCAUCCUUA